CAUGCGCGCGCGCAGUAUGCAGCAAGCACGCCCGCGUUCUGUGUCAGUUAGCGCGACCGGAAAAUCGUGAGUUGGAAACUAAUGAAAAUUACCUCGGAGUAGUGAUUGUGCAUGAGUUUUCUAUGAUUUCUGUCACAUAACUUAUUGUGAUCUUAUAUAACAUACUGAGAAUAAUAUAAUAAAUUACUAAGGAUAACGUUUACCUGCGGAAAUACGAAAAACCAAAGAUGUAAUACAUUAUAGAGCGAACCAGUUUGGGAGCUAGCACAAAUGUGGGCAUACUCAAGUGUGGACAUUCCCGGGCAGCGCGUAACUCGCUCUGAGCGAGUAAGGAUCUACAUAUCGGAGUGUGUUGUGUGUUUCUGUAUAUUGUUCUUCAUAGUGUGUGUGGCAUUGCUGUUAUAUCUAUUCUUUCAUUUGUACAGCACGGUGGCUAACACGCGGAAAGUUGUAGAGACAUUGAUAGAAAGUUGACAAUUGUUACUAGUUUUAGUCUCUGAAUGGAACUCUGUGUGGACAGAAAACUAGCCUAGAUUACCAAUCCUGAUAACGAAUCGUAUUACGUCUGUAACUUAGUCUGAGAUCUGUAGAGCAUACUUAGAUUUUGCUCAGACUUUACUUAUGUAAAUCCACUGACUAAAUAAACAAACAAACAAAAAUUGCGUAGGUAAAUUGCAUUACAUUUGAAAUAUGUCAUUUUUACAUACAGCUCGUUUGGAAGGCAGAUUUCCUUAGAGAACAUGAAACUCUAAGGUUGCUCUUUUCAAAACAAAAUGGUAUUACAUGUUCUUAUUUUCAAUUUGAUUUUACAAAUCAUUUCAAUUACAAUAUAUGCAAAGUGAUGCAACAAAAUACACAAACGUCAAUUACUAAAUGCCUUACACGAUGCCUUAAGUCAAAAAAAUGUUAAUUAAUAAGUAAAAACAAUAGUUUACCCUGUACUUUUCCCGGGGCGUAAAAAGAAUAGGGGAGUCCCAGGCCCAUGGGUGUCGUAAGAGGCGACUAAGGGCUUUUUAGAAGUGGAAGAGUCACGCUGCCGUCUUUUGACGUCAGCAUAAUCGGGCCAGGCUCGUCCGGGUUAAUUACCACACUCGCACAGAAUACCGGCGUGAAGUAGCGGCCUAGUGCCGCUAUGUUUCGCAUAGGUUAGUGUCGAGGACCGGUGGCCAUUACAAAAUCGGCGAGCAGCUUUCCAGUUACCCGACCGGAACACGCAAGUUCUGGUCGUUGUCGAAAGCUGCUCUUGGUAACUUCAGCCAGCUGUCCAUGCCGCCGUUGCACAUGAGGAAUGACACCCUGGCCCGUACGGCAAAAGAGAAAGCCGAUCUCUUGUGCACUCUUUUCGCCUCCAACUCGACUCUUGACGACAACGGUAAAACACCGCCGACCAUCCCGCGGUGUCAAAGCUCUAUGCCUGAAGUACAGUUCAGACAGAAAACUGUUAGGCGAGCUCUGUUUUCGUUGGACGUCAGGAAGUCGAGCGGGCCGGAUGGCAUUUCUCCAAUCGUGCUUAGAACGUGUGCCCCUGAGUUGACGCCGGUGCUAACGCGUUUAUUCCGGCACUCUUAUUCUAAAGGCGUAGUCCCUGACUCAUGGAAGUCAGCCCUUGUCCAUCCGAUCCAAAAAAAAAGGAGACAGUUCGGAUCCGGCAAACUACAGGUCUAUUGCUAUUACCUCCCUGGGUCACCAGUUGAUCAACGAUCGACAAUACGGGUUUUGCCAUGGUCGGUCGGCAGGUGAUCUUCUGGUAUACCUAACACAUAGAUGGGCAGCGGCUAUUGAAAGCAAGGGGGAAGGCCUGGCAGUUAGCCUGGAUAUUGCGAAGGCCUUUGAUCGUGUAUGGCACAAGGUGCUCCUCUCCAAACUUCCAUCAUUUGGGCUUCCCGAGAGCUUGUGCAAGUGGACCUCCAGCUUCCUCACUGGGCGCAGCAUACAGGUCGUUGUCGACGGAUAUUGCUCGAACCCGAAGCCCGUGAAUGCUGGAGUGCCCCAAGGCUGUGUGCUGUCUCCCACGCUGUUUCUUCUGCAUAUCAAUGAUAUGUUGGACACCUCCAACAUCCAUUGCUAUGCAGACGACACUGGUGAUGCCGUAUACACUGGCCAUGCAGGUCUCUCUCGGGAUAUCGUCGACCAGUGCCGGGAGAAACUUGUGUCUUCUAUCGAGUCCUCUCUUGAGAAGGUCGCGGAAUGGGGAAAAUUGAACCUUGUCCAAUUUAACCCCCAGAAGACUCAAGUUUGCGCGUUUACCACUAAAAAAAACCCCAUUUGUCGUAUCACCGCUCUUCGACAACACUUCCCUCAAAGCCUCGCCUAGUAUCGGAAUACUGGGUCUCGAAAUCUCGAGCGAUUGCCAAUUUCGUGGUCAUCUGGAAGGCAAAGCCAAAUUGGCUUCAAAGAAACUGGGCGUCAUUAAUAGAGCACGGCAAUACUUCAAGCCGACCCACAUACUAGCGCUCUACAAAGCGCAGGUCCGGCCACACAUGGAGUAUUGCUGUCAUCUCUGGUCUGGCGCACCCCAGUAUCAGCUCGAUCCAUUUGACCGCUUGCAACGCAGAGCAGCUCGAAUUGUCGGGGACACAGUGCUCUGUGAACGGCUGGAUCACUUGGCGUUGCGUAGAGACGUCGCUUCAUUGUGUGUCUUCUACCGCAUUUAUCACGGGGAGUGUUCCGAAGAGCUGUUUAACCUGAUUCCUGCCGCCGAAUUCCACCUUCGCACGACACGCCACAAGUUAGGAUAUCAUCCUCACCAUCUGGAUGUGUGGCGGUCCUCCACAGUGCGGUUUUCAAGGAGCUUUCUUCCACGUACUACAAAGCUGUGGAAUGAGCUUCCUUGUGCGGUGUUUCCGGGACGAUACGACAUGGGUACCUUCAAAAAAAGCGCGUACACCUUCCUUAAAGGCCGGCAACGCUCCUGUGAUUCCUCUGAUGUUGCAAGAGAUUGUGGGCGGCGGUGAUCACUUAACAACAGGUGACCCGUACGCUCGUUUGUCCUCCUAUUCCAUUAAAAAAAAAAAAAGUUAUCGUUAUUGAGUACAUACCUACUUAAAGUAGGUACAAAACAGUAUAAUUAUGUAGUAUGUUUGACAGCCAUUUUUUGUGCCUAUUUGAAGCGCCACUCGCGAGCGUCCAGAGAACUAAUUUUGACAUAUAUUAUAUGUCAAAUGGCUGCGAAGGAACGUACAAUACUCUGAAGUAUUUUUACAUUUCGAAUUAAUUUCGUUCGUUUUCCGUGUUAUUUAUACUUCAAGAAUAAACGUAAUAAAGUACACAAUAUUUUUUUUGGAAAUAGUUUCCCAACAUCAGUCGAUGUUUGCUGAGGUUGUCAUCACUAGUUUUAGUACCGCAGAAUCUCACUACAUGGCCAAAGGCGCCAUACCAAAAUGGCGAAUAUCAAACAGGCACAAAAGCACUUUGCCAGCAUGCAGUCCAGUGGUAUAUUGUAGUGGUCAGUGAGUAAAUCUCAGCUGAGUGUGAUAAAACGCGAACUUUACUUUUGCAUUCGGCCGUUUUAGCUUAAGCUCAGUAUAAAAGGCAUAAAAAGGCAAUAAUUUUCUCAAAAUUGAAUUGAGCCUUUAGAAUUCUUUUUGGUGUCAUUUCUAAUAACUACUAGAUACUACUACCGCUUCGGAAAUAAAUGGCGCUCUGAGAGAGAAGAAGCGGCGCAAGAAACUCUCCCAGCAUUCCUUUUUUGCGCUCUUUUCAAUAAAAAUAUACAAUAUUGUACAGUAAUUUCUAUCGCUAUUAAAUUAUCACAAUCUAGUCCCAGGCUGUCCGCUCAUUUAGAUAUUCAGCAGUGGAGUAAUAGGAUUUACGACAGAGCCCUUUUUAUGAAACAUUUAAAUUUAUUUAUAAAUAAUGCCUGAACAGUGGCUGAACGUAUAAUUUCAGUUGUCAAAUGACUAUAAAAACGAAAUCAAAAAUUAUGCUAAGCUUACAAUCAGCUAAGUUUUACUUAAGUAAAGUCUGAGCAAAGUCUAAGUAAGCUCUAUAGAUCUCGGCCUUAGAGUUAAGUACAAUUUGAAAUAAUUAUUUAUCGUUACAAAAUUUGGAGUAUUUAUUUAAAUAAAUAUGUAAAUAAUUAAUAUUUGAUAUUAAUGUAUAGAAAUUAUGUAGGAGUAUUUGCGUAUGUAUUUAAUUAUCUUUAGAAAUUAUGAUUAUUGUUAUAUUCGUAACGAGGGUAUAAUAAACGGUAAAUGAAAAAAUAAAA